GACGCAGCCGGGACGGUAGCUGCAGAGCGGACCGGAGGAGCCAUCUUGUCUCAUCGCCGGGGAGUCAGGCCCCUAACUCGAAGAAGCCCUGGCGCGCCCUCCCCCCCUCCCCGGUCUGGUAGGGCGAAGGAGCGGGCGCGCGGUCGAUCGAGCGAUCGGUUGGCGGCUCUUUCUCCUGCUCUGGCAUCCAGCUCUUGGGGCGCAGGCCCGGCCGCCGCGGCGCGCGCCCGGUGGCCGUUGGCGCUCGCGCCGCGUCUUUCUUCUUGUACGCAGAACUCGGGCGGCGGCCUAUGCGUUUGCGAUUCGACGAGGAGUCGUCCGGGUGGUCGGUGGCGGCGGGCAACUCCUCCGCCCCGCUCCCGGGGAGGCGGCGGCAGCGGCGGGAUUUGGCGCGGCCGGGGAGGCGGGGGUGGCCGGGGCCGGCCUGGAGGCCUGGCGCCACCCUUCCGGGCCUGCAAGAACCCAGUUGGGGGGACAGGAGGGAGCUGGAGGAUGGUUGGUGGUGGGCUUUCUACUUUGCCUUUUCCUCCUCAUGCCGCCUUAGUGAGAUGCGGGAUCUCUGGCAGCAGCUCCGGGGUGGGGAUAGGAGCCCUGGAGUAGAAGAGCUGGGUUUGCUUCCAGGCCUAUCCACCAGCUGGCCRAGUGACCUUAGGCAAAUCACUCUGUAAUUUGUCUGCGCCUCAGUUUCCUCCUCUGCCUGUCGUUGUAUGUGGGGUUGAAAGCGCUUUGUAAACUAUAAGGCGUUGGUAUACGUAAAAGAUGAAUAUUGUAAUGUUUUUUGAGUUGUAAGAAAACAACAAUUACCCAUUUGUGGGAUUUUGAACCUGGGAACCUUAGAUUGGAGUUGGAGAUCCCUAAAACUCCCAGAUACUGUAUGCAGAAAAUUUGUGGGAACAUGCAUUUGUAAGGAAUGGUAAUCCACAGCUGGCAAGUUUUCAGAGGGUCCUGUGACCCAGAAGAGUUAAGAUCGAUUCYUGUAUGCCACUUCCUUUAUGCCACGGGGAGGAAACUGAGGCCUAGAUGUCAUUUGGGAUCCUUUACUACCAAUUUGAAGCCCCCCGUUUGAGUCCCUGGGAUAUGUGAGCUGUUUCUAUGGAUAUUGGGGGUAACGAUAAGCCCUGCUGGCUUCUGUUCUGAAUMCUUUCUUUUCGCCAUGGGGUGCCUGAAGGAUGGCUGAUGUAUAUGGUACAUGGUACAAUGGCACCCAAUGUAAAGCAGCUACAAUUAAGGGUGGAUGUGUUCUGUAAUAUCAAGCAUAUUAAACUUUGGCCCAGAAGUUCUUUGUUUUUUGCUGUUUAUACUGGUGUCUGACUACCUUUCUUUCUUUGACCAUUUUGCUAUGUUUCACUUGCUCCUAUUUUGUGUCCCUAGUUUGUGUGUUUGGUAGUGAAUAGGCUUAUUUUUAAAUGGUGCUGCCAUGCCCAGCUAAUUAAUGGUGCACAUGGAUUUUUAGCAWGCAGGCUCACUGGAACAGGCAUGGAAUUCCUGAAGAUGUUUUGGGUUUUUUCUUUAUUUGAAGGCUAACAUGCUCUGAAAAGUWCUGUUAAAACUCCUGCUGAACCUCAAAAAUCAGAUUUGGUAGCRAUUUGAAACUUUCCUGGCCUGCCAUGUAUUCUAUUGGUUAUAAGUGUGAUAACKAGGCAGCCAAAAUGCCAUUUUUUGUUUCUUUGUUAAUUGUCAGCUGCUUUUAUCAAAUUCCAGUCUGUUAUCCAGCAAACACUAAAAAUGUUUGAACAGUUGGAUUUCAAACAUUUUAACUUUGUGGAGUGGUGCUUACCAAGUGGUACAGCUCUAAGCAAGUGAACAUGAACACUUUUAAGUGUAGUUUGUCCGAUUAGAUGUUAGCCAGUUCUGCUGUUUCAUUCAAAUGUCUGAAAAAAAAAAUCAGUUGACUGUUCCUUUACCUAAAGGGCAGAGACAAAUGAUUCACUCCCAGAAAAAAURACUUUUUUUGAAGAAAACUGUGUUGGUCUUUAGCUCUUUUGUAAUUAAGUCUGGAUGUACCUCAAAAGAAUCUUUAGACUGUGGUGAUAAGAGGCUUUCCUCCAGAGAAAGGAGGAGAAAAACAACUGGAACUCAAAGCUUGAAAUUCUGUAACAAAACAUGAGAUGUCCAGGAUUGGAGGUUGAAAAGGUUUUGCUACAGUGUCCUGCAAUCAUUGAAGCAGAUAACUUUUAGUAGCUGCAGCCAUGGACUCCAGAUUUUCAAGAACUGGACCUGCAACCCAGAAGAGCUUGUCAGGAUGUGGCAGGAAUUCUGGAGGUAGUUUUUUUGGUUUGGUUUGUUUUGUUCUGUUUUUAAUCUGGGGACUGUUGACCUUGCUGUGAGAAAAGAGGCAACUGAGCAAGCACUGCCACCAGCAAUGUUUAUGGGAAUUAGAAGACCUGAGUUUCUCUUCAGAACUUCUGUGCAAACUGAUAACACUCCAUCCAAAGUGGAUUACGAUAGCAAAUCCUUUGAAAAGGACCUUGUUUUAUGCACCUACAUACCACUACCUCUGAUGAAGCAUUUAUUACAAAGGAAGACUUUAGAGAACAGGCUGUCUCAGAAUCAUCCUGUGCCUCCUGAUUGCUGAGUGUUCACCUGGACCUUCUGACCACCUUCCUUCUGCUAGACCAUCAGCCUACAGACCUGGUACCUGGAUUUUUGCUCAUGGUGAUUCCUGCCACUUUACUACUGAAGAAGGCAUCAUUCCAGUGGACACUGUGACCCAAGAGGCAUUCAUCCAUCAUGAUGUGGCCUUUACCUCCACUCCUUUCCUGUUGUACCCAGAGUCAGCACAGCCCUUUAUAGUGUAGUCAAGAGUCCUGAAGCCAAAUGGCUGAAGCUAUUUUAACACAAAGGCCCAGUUUUUUUCCAUGAGUGUACAUUUCAUUUCUUCAGUUAAAGCCUUCAGAGAGACACAAUAAAGUUGGACCAGGGGAUUUGUAAUUGUCAACUAUGUCAGAAGAAAGGAAACAUCUCUUUGAGAACAGCAUUAGACCAUGCCCCCCCCAAUCUCAAAUGAUUGAAGUUCAUGAACUAACUAUCUUGAUGGAAUCCCAUCAAGGUCACUGGACCCUGUUCUUUUUUCUACGUCAAAACUGUAGUAGCCUACUGAAUGAGAAAGUAGAUACUCUGACCCAUUGGGAUCAAAAGAAGGCACAGUGAAUUCCUUAUAGCAUCUUCUUUGGGAUUACUCAGGAACCAGAACUCUUCACAAAACAUAAGAAAUUCUACUAAGGAAUCCCUUUACCUAAUGGCAUCUCACAAGACUACAGUCAGACUCAAGAGAAGGCCUCUUGAUACAUCAAGAUAGCACCUAUAUGCAUUUUGUGAACAGCUUAUUCUUAGAUCAUUGGUUUUCCAAAGACUUGUGGCCAUGAAGUCCUUUGAAUGAAAAUAUGGAAGCCCAGAGUAAAAGUGAAGCUGCUCUAAAUGAAGUAGUGAAGCAGAAGUGGGGGUCUGCAACCUGCCAUAACCAUCAUCCUUUACCACCAUGGUGACAUCAAAAGAGACUUCCUGCAACAUGUAGAAUUCUUCAGAGCAAAGUUUGAAAACUACUGCCCCAGAUGACGUGUUUGAGCUGAGUGGCAUUCUAAUCUUUUGUGUACCUUCUCUCAAUGUGGUCCAUAUUCAGUUGAUGCUGAACAUUCUUAUGAAUAUUUACUGCAGACUUAGGAAUAUGCAAGAAAUGACGAAGUGCAAGAAAUGCCUUUGCCCCCCAGAAUGGUCAUGUGGGCUGAAAAUAGUGUCAAAUGAACCUUCAUUAAUAGCCCUCCAUCCCAGAUGGGCUUAAAAUCACUCCUGGAAUUGGAUAGACCCAGAGAGCAACUAAUAUGCACCCUAUACUGACAAAUCCCACUUACCAACCUUCUUAAACACCAGAUGUACUACUGGUACUGAAGUACAUGAAUGAUAUCUUAGACCUUCCUUGGAUACAUGAAAAACCUACAGGUUGAUACUGAAACUGAUUCCUCAUUGAGACCAUCUUAAACCAACUUGUGCAUUUGAUCUCUCAUCAUUAACCAUGGUACUAUACUUCGUAUGCAAGGGAUAACUAACUAUGAAAGCAGAAUCCAAAUAUUGGCAGCAUUUCCCAAAGGGGCUCAGUACCUGGUUAUCAUUCAUCUUUUCAAACUACAAAUCACUAUAUGACUCAACCAGUGGUAGUUUACACUGCUCCUUGGUUUAUAUUCAAUUAACCGUUAUUUCCAGGACAAGUGAGCCUUUAAAAAAGUUGGGGUUUUUGUUUAAUUUUAAUUUUCUCCAUCACUUGGCAUAUCUGCUUGUUCUACAAAAUUAAUAUGAAUACUAGUCUCUAGCUACAUGUAACAGCUGAUCUUCAAGACAAUCUUUGGACAUCCCUUCUCAUGUGAUUUUAAAUGAAGCCAUUUGGAAAAUUUUUCUUAUAGCCAGUGAGAAAUGUUCUUGUAAUAUGAAUCUUUUGUGCCUGGUACCAUCAACUAUAUAUGCUAGUGAUAGUUAAACAUAGGCCCUUUGAUCAGACCAUGGUAGCCAACUCGCUGGGCUACAUUUUUGUCAGACUGAUAUGGAAAAAAAAAUACAAAUACAGCAGCAAAGGAUUUUAAUACUUAAAACUUUUGUCCUCGUGGAUCUUAAAUCACAUCUGUCUCAAUACUGCUGUUUUAUACCAAUUAAAAGUGGUUGGCUUUAUUCCUUUCUGUGAGAUACUGUUAGUCAUUAGGACAAUUUAUUUCUGUAAUAAGGAUUCAAUUCUUGAAUUCCCAAAUCAUAUCAAAUGAAGAGACUUCGAUUUGUGUCCUGAGAAAAAUCUCAUCCUUUACUGCACAAUUUAAGGGCUGGCCAUCCUCAGCCACUUUAACAAAUGUACACAUUCAAUGCUGGAAAUGUUUUCUUUAUGUCCUUGUUUCCUAGCCUCUAGAUUAAUCGUGAUUAUGUGAUUCAUUCUACAAAUCAUCAAACAAGACUUAGUCCUGUUGCUGUAGACUGCUUACCCUCAGCACAUUAAAUCUGGAUGACUAUUCUGCUUAUAUAUACAGCUUUUAUAUCUUCAAGAUCACUUUUUCUGCUGUCUUCAGAUUGUCAAGUUGUCAGAUUUUUCCCCCCUGUGCUUUUCCUGUACCUUUCAGAAAAAGACAUUUAUCUACACUGCCAGUUAUUCCCUCUGAUCCUAUCAUACUCAAUCAAAAUGAAGGGUUUAAUAUGAAAGUGAUCAUCUGCUCAAGAGUCAAAUGUAUCCUGUGCUUAAGAAUUGGUAAUUAAGAAGGCAAAAAGCCCAAAACUUAAACCCAGGAGUUUGCCUACUAUCUCCACACCUCAAAUCUUAUCCAAAUCUUUCAAGAGUGCCAUCCAACCAGUCUGAGGCCUUGACUUGCUUGUAAGGUGACUCUCAGAGAUGAGCUCAGUUACAGAAGAUGAAGACUUGAUUACCAAAGAAAGUAGGGCCAACUUUGACAAACCUGGCUCUACUGACCCUGCUGCUCCCAGAUAUAGUGUAAACUGAUAAACAGACCCUCAGGUCUAGAUUGGAUAUGGCCUUUGAGCUGGCUGUUCUUGGGCAAAUGAACAGGAAAAUGAGAGCCGCUAUACCUGACUAGCCCUUUAAGAUCAGAAAAUGGUAUUCAGAGUAAACCCUGUAGAAUAAUUCUGAAGUACCCAGGGCAAAAACUAAUUUAUAGAACAUUUAUUAAUCCGCCACAUUAUAUCCUGUCUUUUGGUAUGGCUGGUCCUGUUGAAGUUGCCCUGCUUGUCAAUUUACCUGUCUCAACUCUUAACCUGCCUUUUUUAACAUGUUUCUGCAAUCAGACUGAGAAGACAAUAGCCAAUUUCAGCAUAUCUUGUGCCCAAUCCCAUCAAGGAUUUCUGAAUGGAAGCAGCCCAUACUUCACCCCAAAAGGACUUAAUGUUCACAACAGGAAAGGAUCAUGCUGCACACUCCUAGUGGUGAGUAAGCUACACUUGACCAUUUUUGGCACCUGGGACCUCUUCUGCCAGAUUCGGAAGGGAAAAGUGCAGCAGAUGGAAAGCAAAUCCAUUUCUCUCUUCUGCAGCAACAGAAAUGAGUCUGGUUCACCAGUACUCAUAGGAAUGUACCAGUUCAACUUGGCAAAAGACUUAAAGGAACACGAGAAAAGUUUUCCACUGAACUUAAUAAUUUAUCACAGACUCAUAUAGCGUUGCAAAACUACUUGCCAAUAGGAACGUAGUGGUCCUACUUCAUGUCACGAAGAUAAUGGGACUCUCAGACUCAGCUGAGUUUGCUUGUAUUGAAACUCUGGUAUCAUCCAAAGUACCCUAUUGGACAUAAAUUACUAUUCCAUUCAAAUGGAUUAUAGACUUCCUGAGGACAGGAAAACYAUCCCUCAUGGUUAUUUUUAAAACAAUUUUAUUACCAGUGAAGAAACAAUGCCAGCAUUCAAAUUCAUAAGCAGAGAUCAAGUUUUUUCAAUAUCUGGUCGUAUCCUGAACAUCAUUUGUUUUUGAUUGCCCAGCAUCCAUUCCAUCUCAUUGUAGCAAUUUCAUGAUAUUUCUUGAAACCCUAUCUUCCUAUUUGCAGUCCAUGUGAUUUGGAUAGUGUGAGCCUUGGGCUUCAGGGGUAUACAUGUAAUUCAGACCUCAUCAAUCAACAAAAUCCAUGUCCUUGAUCAUAGCUAUUGGUUCAGGAAUGGUUGUUUGGCUCAAGUUGGUCUAUUGUUAACCCUAGGAGUUUUACUGAAUUGUGAAGAAGUUUUCUUUAUGGAGGUGCUUUAGCUUUGUAGAAUGAAAAACUCAAACCAAUAAGGCCUAUCACGACAUUGCAUGAGCCACUCUGAGAAUGAAGCCAGUGCAAAGGAAAACAGCCAGAGAUGGAGAGACUUGAGUCCUGAUGACAGCAUUUGUGCCCCUGGAUCCAACUGUGCCUGAAGCUAGUAUAUCCCCUGGACUUUGCAGUUAUGUGAACCAAUAAAUACCCUUUUUGCUUAUGUUA